rnacentral:rRNA from 1 species
UACGUAGGGGGCAAGCGUUGUCCGGAUUUAUUGGGCGUAAAGAGCGUGUAGGCGGUUAGGUAGGUCCGUUGUGAAAACUCGAGGCUCAACCUCGAGACGCCGAUGGAAACCAUCUGACUAGAGUCCGGAAGAGGAGAGUGGAAUUCCUGGUGUGAGCGGUGAAAUGCGCAGAUAUCAGGAAGAACACCCGUGGCUAAGGCGGCUCUCUAGUACGUGACUGACGCUGAGACGCGAAAGCGUGGGGAGCGAACAGG